AGCAGCCGCGGUAAUUCCAGCUCCAAUAGCGUAUAUUAAAGUUGUUGCAGUUAAAAAGCUCGUAGUUGAAUUUCGGGGUUAGUAGAUUGGUCGUGCCACAGGUAUGAACUGGCCUCACUGAUUCCUCCUUCCUGAUGAACCGUAAUGCCAUUAAUUUGGUGUUGCGGGGAAACUGGACUGUUACUUUGAAAAAAUUGAGUGUUUAAAGCAGGCUAACGCUUGAAUACAUUAGCAUGGAAUAAUGAAAUAGGACGUUCGAUCCUAUUUUGUUGGUUUCUAGGAUUUGACGUAAUGAUUAAUAGGGAUAGUUGGGGGCAUUAGUAUUCAAUUGUCAGAGGUGAAAUUCUUGGAUUUAUUGAAGACUAACUACUGCGAAAGCAUUUGCCAAGGAUGUUUUCAUUAAUCAAGAACGAAGUUAGGGGAUCGAAGACGAUCAGAUACCGUCGUAGUCUUAACCAUAAACUAUGCCGACUAGGGAUCGGACGAUGUUAAUUUUUAUGUACUUCAUUCGGCGCCUUAC
rnacentral:rRNA from 1 species